rnacentral:antisense_RNA from 1 species
CUUGAUCGAGCCCAGUAGCACGGGCCGGUCGGCGGGGCGUCCCUGGCCGUAGGUGGCGAUCAGCGCGUCCGCCUC